rnacentral:piRNA from 1 species
GCACAACUGUGUGACAGAUGGAACUGAG